rnacentral:lncRNA from 1 species
CAGCUGGAAUUAGUUUUAUUAUUCUCACAACAUACUCAGAAUUACAUAACAAGUAACGUUGAAAUGAAAAUACAGUAAACUUAGGAGAAUCAAACAUACAGAAAUGAAAGAGAUCACACUUAACAUAAAUGAAAAUUUAUUUCAAACUCUAGCUUUCUUCAUUUUCCUUCUUCUAUAUUGACACACUGUUGGGAAUUCCUUUGCCUNNN